UUAGUCUCGAGAGAAAAAAAAAAUCUUUCUUAAACCCAGAGGAGUUAAAACCACUCCCAGGUAAGCUUUCAAUAAGGUAUAAAAUUGCUUCUGCCUUUGUCUCAAAACAUCCAUCUUUUCUUUUCUUUUUUUUGAUACUGUUCACUCUUCUCCAUCUCUGUUAAUGGAAGCUGAAAAUUUGCCAACGUUGCUAAUCUUGUUUCCCUCUUAAAGGGAGCAUAAUACAAUUGGACCUUUCUCUCUAGUUCUUCAGUGUAUUCCUGAUGCUUUCACAGCCAUCCCUAGGCAAAAUCAUUUUUUUCCUUCCAAAUUCAGUGUUUAAAAGAUCAAAGCAGAACAUACAGUUCUUAUCACUUUCAGCAUCUGUGGUAUAGGCCAAUGGAUUUCCCAGCUCAAGUCUGAAAGGAAAUUUUAAAAAUGCAUUGCUAAAUAGCCUUUAGUUACUUCUACGCGAAAAAAGAAGUCACUGCAGCCCAGUUUUAAUGGUUUAGCAAGUAUUAAGAUAUGUUUUCCAUGUAGUCUACCUGUGCUAGUGGGGAAAGAGUGUGUAAGGGGGAAGGGAGACCUGAGACUAGAGGAUCCUGACACUCUGCGGCAUAGAAAAUGCAGUAGGGUAAAUACUCCUGACACUGAGACUCCCCUUGAAACCAACGAGGGAAAUUAAUCACUAAAUACUUAUCCAGCACCUUCCCUGCUGCAAAAGGGCAGAAAGAGUUAAUUUCCCUCCAGUCAAAAGGAAUCAUUUUUCUUCUUCUCCAGGGAUCCGGCCUACUUUACAAUAAACACUUUGUUUGGUGGACCACUGUGAGGAUGGACUCUGCUUAACAGCCAAAAGAUCCUGUAAGGCUUGUUUGAGCUUCUCUCUAUCCAUCCACCCAUCCCCAGCCACUUCACCUACCCGUCCUUCAGAUCUGCUUUGAGUAGUUACAUCCUGUCCUUUGUCAGUACUUCAACCGUGUUUUGGGUGGACAAUUGUAUAAUUUCAGGAUAUGACCGUGGCUGACAAAAUGCUUACUGGAAUGUUGAAGUUUUUAAAUUGAGCUCCUACUGUGUGCCAGACCCACCUAUUUUUAAGAAUGAGUGAACAGAGUCCCACCAUUGUGGAAUUUGCAUUUGAGAGCUGGGCAUCAAUAAACAUGAAAACAAUAAACUGAGGUCACCGCCGAUGCUGAAAUCACUAUAAUAGUGAAGGACUGAAGAAGGAGACAGCACUGGAAGAAGAAAUGAAGGAGAAGAAAAUAUGCACUCAUGCAUUCAAAAUCUUCAUUAAGCACCAACUGUGUUCCCCGUACUGUGCUCUAGAUGUGCUGAGGUCAUUGCAACAUAACCCUGCUCCAAGUACUUCACAUCCUUGAAUGCAGAGAAGGGACAUCUUUAUUCAUGCAGUAGAGAACGGGGCUCUGCUUUGUGAGCUACGGCAGGACUAAGAUCUAUGUAUGGAAUUUAUAGGGAAGUAGACUUCACAUCUGUAUCAAGAAGAAGUUUUUCACUGUGCAUGUCUCCAACCAUCCAGUGCAGAUUGGAAUAAUCUACUGAGAAUUUGGAUGAUCAACUUGAAGAACAUGUAGAAGAGUUUCCUGAAUUCGUUAGGAGGUUGAAUUAAAUAACUCUGAAGUUCUCUUUUUAAACAAAGAUUUAAAGGUUUUAUGUUAUGCUAUUCUUAGCUAGUAAAUAGCAUUUUCUCCAGUUUUAUAAGAUGAACAGUGGUGAAAGACUGUCCAAGAGGAUUAAAAGUAAACAAUGUCAGAAAGAUCUCAUCUUCUCAUUAAAGUAAAAACACUUGAAUCUUCUAAUUUCUUCAAAUAAUUAUGAGCCAUCUUGUCAUGCCAGUAGGAAAGAUCAUCCUGACUCAUCUUUUGGUACAAUUUGUGCACUUGUUCGUGCAUUGACUUUUUAUCUGAUCUGAUCUGUUUUUAUUUUUUAUUUUUGUGUGUGUGCUAAAGUUAAAAAAAACUCAGGCUUGAUCAUGGAUUUUCUUAGCAAAAAAUUAGGGAAAACCCAGGAUAAUGACUGACAGGGAAAUUUCCAAGGGCAGGAGAUGCUUCUGGAUCAGUUAUUUUUGUGUUCCAGGUGCCCCUAAAUCCCACUGUGAGGGUGGGCAUUCCAUCUCUUGAAAGUUAACCAAAUUCAAGUUUUGAUGGUGUGGGUCCCAGGAGGGCCUUAUCAGCUUCUUUCCAUAGCCUAUCAUCCCAGAUAUUUAGGUAAUGCAAACAAAAUAGUGCCUUUACCUUAAAGACAGGAUGUUUGGAGUCAGACUAAUUUCUGUUUGAAUCUCAUCU